GUUUCUGGGAGCAUGCCGGCACUUCCGGGAGCCGUGCAGAGCCAGAGCAGACAGGGAGUCUGACUUAACCACGCUGCACCGCCGACCAGGAGCCACCUGAGCAGGCGCAUCGUGGCCACGUGGCAGAGGGGCGCAGCAGGAACAGGGGACUGGAGCGAGAUCCAGGAGCAGCCGCCCAGGAGACACGAGGAUGAGGACGGCACCUGCACCCACGGGCCAGAACCCCAGCUCCCAGCCACCAGCUCCAUCCAGAGCCUCUUCGAUGGGGCAGGCAGGCUGGACCUGGCUGGGCUGCGCAAGGUGGUCUAUGAGACAGGCACAGAUGCCAGUGAACGGAAGGUCACCUGGAAGUUUCUCUUCGGUGUGUACCCCGCGGACUCCACCACUGAGGAGCGGCGCCGGCUGGACCAGCAGCUGGUCGCUCGCUACAGGAGCAUGAAGAAUGCCUGGAAACAGCAGUUCCCCAGCGCCAGGCGCAUGAAGGUGCAGU